CCUACGGUGGGCAGCAGUUAGGAAUAUUGGUCAAUGGCCGUAAGGCUGAACCAGCCAAGUCGCGUGAAGGAAGAAGGAUCUAUGGUUUGUAAACUUCUUUUAUAGGGGAAUAAAGGUAUCCACGUGUUGAUAUUUGCAUGUACCCUAUGAAUAAUCAUCGGCUAACUCAGUGCCAGCAGCCGCGGUAAUCCGGAGGAUGCGAGCGUUAUCCGGAUUUAUUGGGGUUAAAGGGUGCCUAGGUAGUUUUUUAAUUCAGCGUGGAAAGUUUGUGGCUCAACCAUAAAAUUGCAGUUGAAACUGGAAGACUUGAGUGUGUUUGAGGUAGGCGGAAUGCGUGGUGUAGCGGUGAAAUGCAUAGAUAUCACGCAGAACGCCGAUUGCGAAGGCAGCUUACUAAGCCAUAACUGACACUGAAGCACGAAAGCGUGGGGAUCAAACAGGAUUAGAUACCCCAGUAGUC
rnacentral:rRNA from 1 species